rnacentral:lncRNA from 1 species
UCCUGACGUCUAUACCUAUGAGCACUAUUUAGAAGUAGGUUUUACAUAUGUAAUCAAGAUAAAAUGAGGUCAUCUUAGAUUAGAGUAGGCCCUAAUCCUCCAUGGGCAGUGUCCUUAUAAAGAUUUGGAGAUAGACACAGAGGAGACACACACAUAAGAGAGUACCAUGUGAAGAUGGAGGCAGAUAUUGAAGUGAUGCAGCUACAAGCCAGAAACUCAUAGACUGCAGGCAACCACCAGAAGCUAGGAGAGAGGCAUGGAUCAGAUUCUCCAGCAGAGCCCUCCGAAGGAACCAACCCAGUGGGCACCUUGAUUUUGGACUACUAACUGUGUGACCCAUGAAAGAACAAAUGUGCAUUGCUGCCAUCCUAGGAGCUUGAAAUUGUCCUCUACUGAGGCCUGUGGACUCUGUGGUGAUGAAGUGGACAUCAGAACAAAAGCAGUAAUCCUUCAGGUUGCACUGGCAUUUCCGCUCCAGACCAUCAAACUUGAAAGCAUCAUGAAGACCCAGAGCCAAGCCUGGAAAAGUGUGUCCUUUCUGGUCCAGCACCUGCCUGUCUGUUCAACUCCAUAAGCCGCUGACUCCUAAGAGCUACUCACACAGUGUGUGUGAGUAAUCCAAUUAUCAAAGCUUAGCCAGGAGGGUUUAUCCCAAACAAAGCAAUGUGCAUUGGCAUUGGAACGAAAGGGGACAGGCAAAUGGGAGGAGCAAGUCACAAACUUUGCGGUUAUCAGAGCAGCAUUGCAGAGUGACUGAUUAAAUUCUUUUUGUCUUUUCAAUCAGAGCUUUCACAUAAAGAGUAAAGAGCAUCUCUACUUGCUGCAAAUCUGGGUGUCUUAACAGACAGAUUUAAUUUGGCCUCAUUUUCUGCCUGAUAUAGAGUGACAUGCAGUAG